rnacentral:rRNA from 1 species
AGCGAACGUUAGCGGCGGGCUUAACACAUGCAAGUCGAGCGAGAACGGGGCAACCCUAGUACAGCGGCGGACGGGUGAGUAACACGUAGGUAACUUUCCCUUGAGCGGGGGACAACGGUCCGAAAGGACCGCUAAUACCGCAUACGUUCUUCUGGUCUUAGGGCUGGGAGAGGAAAGCUAGGCUAGCAAUAGUCCGGCACUCAAGGAGAGGCCUGCGUAGCAUCAGCUAGUUGGUGGGGUAAUGGCCUACCAAGGCAAAGACGCUUAGCUGGUCUGAGAGGAUGAUCAGCCACACUGGGACUGAGACACGGCCCAGACUCCUACGGGAGGCAGCAGUGGGGAAUAUUGGACAAUGGGCGCAAGCCUGAUCCAGCCACGCCGCGUGAGUGAUGAAGGCCUUCGGGUCGUAAAGCUCUGUGGGGAGGGACGGAACCGCUUUGGUUAAUAGCCAGAAGCAUGACGGUACCGUCCUUACGUCAAGCACCGGCUAACUUCGUGCCAGCAGCCGCGGUAAUC